rnacentral:rRNA from 1 species
UGUAAGCGUAUACCAAAGUUGUUGCAGUUAAAACGCUCGUAGUCGGAAUUUGGCAGUUCCGGAUGUGUGCACGUCGUGUGCGCACUUCGCGGGGAUUGCUUUUGUGGUCUUGCGUAGGAUGAGGCACUUUUAUUAGUGAACGUCCUCACUCAACCACUUUUUACUGUGAGAAAAUCAGAGUGCUCAAAGCAGGCAUUUGCCGUGAAUGUAUUAGCAUGGAAUAAUAGAAUAGGACUUGGUUCUAUUUUGUUGGUUUGUUGGGACUGAGUAAUGAUUAAGAGGGACAGUUGGGGGCAUUUGUAUUUCGGUGCUAGAGGUGAAAUUCUUAGAUUACCGAAAGACAAACUGCUGCGAAAGCGUCUGCCAAGGAUGUUUUCAUUGA